GCCGAGGUGGCGAAAAGGUAGACGCGCUAGUUUCAGGUACUAGUGGGGAUUUCCCCGUGGAGGUUCGAGUCCUCUUCUCGGCACCA
rnacentral:tRNA from 1 species